UACGGGGGGGGCAAGCGUUGUUCGGAAUUACUGGGCGUAAAGGGUUCGUAGGUGGCUUGCUAAGUCAGACGUGAAAUCCCUCAGCUUAACUGGGGAACUGCGUCGUGAGACUGGUGAGCUUGAGUGCAGGAGAGGAACGCGGAAUUCCAGGUGUAGCGGUGAAAUGCGUAGAUAUCUGGAGGAACACCGGUGGCGAAGGCGGCGUUCUGGACUGCUACUGACACUGAGGAACGAAAGCCAGGGGAGCAAACGGG
rnacentral:rRNA from 1 species